AAACAGCCCCUUAUGUUUUGAUUCUUUGGCAGUUUGGCCCCUCAAGGCAAAAUAAAAAUAAAAAAUUUGACACGUGGCACCUCAUUUAUGGUGCCACGUCAGCGUUGACCCAGUCAACACUGGACUGGGGGUUCAAAACUGCCAAAGAAUCAAAACAUAGGGGGCUGUUU
rfam:Medicago truncatula strain A17 unplaced genomic scaffold scaffold0370, whole genome shotgun sequence.